rnacentral:lncRNA from 1 species
CCAGUGCUCAGGAAUCUGCUCUUGUGAUGAUUACAGAGGCGGCUCCCGUGGGAUGGAGCUUUGGGGAAGGGAGGCGUGAAGAGCAGCAAUACACAGCCUCCCCCUUAUCCUCAGGGCACCGCACGGCACUGUGAGAGCUGACGUCUGUCUGUAAUGGCAGCAGUGUGAUCCUCUGGAUUAAGGAGGGCUUCAUGUGGACAGUGUGGACAGAGCCUGGAGCUCCUGUGACAUGGCCUGCCUCCUGAAGAGGAGUCUGUGGAUUCCCAUCAGCGCAUCCUCAGCCUCCAGCUCCCCACGCUGUUCCUGCAGCCCGGGCCUGGUUUUUAUACUGUCCCAGGCCACCAUCCCAGGCCUAGUCCCAGCUCUACGACCCACUCGCUGGGUGGCGCCUCAGCUCCAGCUUCCUCAUGAGCUCUCUCAGGUUACAGAGCCUGGCAUGAGCACUGUGCCUGUCAGACAAGAGGGACGCAAUCCCCCGCUCAGUCCUCAGAAGCUUCCUCUCUCACCCAGUCCCGCUCUCUGUUCGCUUAUGUUAGCCUGCCUGGGAAGCCAUCACCUUUUCUCCAGUCUCUCCCCCCAAACCUAGAAUGGCCAUGUGACACACUGUCUGCUUAGGGGCCACAUACAGGCAGAAACCAGGUGGAGAGCUCCCACAAGAUGUCUGCUUUCCUAAUGAAGACAGUGCUUGUGGCAGCAGCUGCCACGCUGGCACAAGUCAAAGACAAUAAAAACCGGGAUUGUCUUUGCUGCCACCACCGCGGGGUGCUGACCUCUGGGCUGCUUGUCCUGUGACAGAGCAUCUCUCUCUAAGUUCUGCAUGGUCAGGAAAGCACUCCGAACCGCGAGGACGCACUGCUCACCUGGGCAUGCUUGAAGAUGUGCAUGAUAAAGAUGGUGAGACCCAGGCCGAAGAUGUAGGCGGCGAAGCUGGUGUAGAAGUAGGUGUGCGUGUUCUUCUUCAAGCUGCAGGGAAGGCGGAAGCAAGAGGUUAGAGGGGUAACAUCCUUUCUGCAAAGACUGAAGCUGCAUACGUGUGAGGGGAGAGUCUCUGCCAGGAGCUGUGCACCUUGUAUUUCCCUGAGCUAUGUCUCUUUAGAUAAGUUAUCCUUCUUCCAUGCUUGGUUUAUACCUUUGCAAAAAACCAGGAAAGCCAUAGGCCAUUUGUAAAUAACAAAUGUAAAACUCUAGAAAUGUCUCUAAGAGUUUUAGCCAGCACAAAAUCUCUUGGGGGGAAAAAAAGGCGGCUCUAGGUUAUCCCCAUAGAAUCUAAGCUUGAGGCGAGGCCCAGGGAGUCUGCAAGGGACUGAGUCGGGCCCUGUGCAUGCUUGGCAAGUGUUCCUCUGAGCUCCAGGCCAGCCUUAUGCUUAGUUUCAUGACAGUCUGAAAAGAGCCGGAGGAGGAGGACCUCAGGGAACAGCUAGACCUGAACACAGUGGCUUAAGUCCAGCCUGACAAAGAUGGGUUGCAGCUGGCUUUCCCUUCCACUGGGUCAGCCUGUGCUCAGCGUUCUGCCCGACUUGGCACAGCAGACCUGAGAGGGAACUCUUGUUUACCCCCAUGGAUAUGAGAUUGAGGCUUACAAGGUCAGACUAGCCACUAAGGGCACAGAGCUACAAACACAAAUCUCAGAUAAAAGGAAUUUUGUUUU